rnacentral:lncRNA from 1 species
GGGUGGAUCUGACCUAGUCAGUGGAGCUCUUUAAAGCUGGACCUAGAGAUCAAAGAUGGGAAGCACUGAGGUUCUCCUGCUGGCCGUGAACCCAGGGCUCCAUGCCUUCCUCAGAAGCACGGAAAUGAGGCCGGGCGCGGUGGCUCACGCCUGUAGUCCUAGCACUUUGGGAGGCCGAGGCGGGCGGAUCACGAGGUCAGGAGAUCGAGACCAUCCUGGCUAACACGGUGAAGCCCCGUCUCUACUAAAAAUACAAAAAAUUAGCCGGGCGUGGUGGCGGGCGCCUGUAGUCCCAGCUACUCGGGGGUCUGAGGCAGGAGA